rnacentral:rRNA from 1 species
AACCAGCACCUCAAGUGGUCAGGAGGAUUAUUGGGCCUAAAGCAUCCGUAGCCGGCUCUGUAAGUUUUCGGUUAAAUCCAUGUGCUCAACACAUGGGCUGCCGAAAAUACUGCAUAGCUAGGGAGUGGGAGAGGUAGACGGUACUCGGUAGGAAGGGGUAUAAUCCUGUCAUCCUGAGCGGACCACCUGUUGCGAAGGCGCCACACUAGAACGGAUCCGACGGUCAGGGACGAAGCCUAGGGGCACGAACCGG